rnacentral:rRNA from 1 species
UACGUAGGGUGCAAGCGUUGUCCGGAAUUAUUGGGCGUAAAGAGCUUGUAGGCGGUUUGUCGCGUCUGCUGUGAAAUUUCGGGGCUCAACCCUGAACUUGCAGUGGGUACGGGCAGACUAGAGUGUGGUAGGGGAGACUGGAAUUCCUGGUGUAGCGGUGAAAUGCGCAGAUAUCAGGAGGAACACCGAUGGCGAAGGCAGGUCUCUGGGCCACUACUGACGCUGAGAAGCGAAAGCAUGGGGAGCGAACAGG